GAGCUUUCUUGCCUCUUCUGCCAUGUGAGGGCACAGCAAGAAGACCAUGCUCUAUAAAUCAGAAAAUGGGUCCUUACAGACCAAACUGGCUGGCACCUUUAUUGUGGACUUUCCAAUCUGUGGAAAUUUUUUAUAGACCAAAGUUAAGGCUGAAUUGAGAAGGCUCAGAAGACCCUGGCUAGAGUUUCGUCAAGUUUAAAAUGAUCGUCAACUCUGUAUACAUCAAAAUUGAGUUCAGUGCGUGCUGGACUGUUUUCUCUGUUUCAAUAGUAUAUGACUCAUUAAAAUAUGUUGUUACUACUUUUUCUUCAA
rnacentral:lncRNA from 1 species